UAAUAAUAGUCUAUUUAAUGUCACAAAUUAAAACGACACAGAGAAGAUCAGCAUAGCACCUGUAGAAGGUUGGACGUGAAAUAGUGAACGACUCAAACUAGUAUU